rnacentral:lncRNA from 1 species
CCUUUGGUUGGUAGAGGGGCAGAAUGAUCAUGGAGCCUCAACUCUGAGAGGACUGAGAUCCACCUAGUGGGCUCAGCCCAUUAGCAACUUUUAAGGAGAUGAGACAGACGGCAGCUCAGAGGAGGUUGAAUGGUGGGCCUGAUCCCAAACAUGCUGGUUCUGUGAUUGGCCUUUUGGGGUGGAGAGAGACAGAAACAAAGACAUCUAGGCCCUGAAUUAGAAGAAAAGCCGACAGCAUUCUUGCCCAUACGAACAAGUACUUACGUA